UUGACAUGUACGCGAGUCAUUGGGCUUUACGAAACCCAAAGGCGCAGUGAAGGAAAAGGUUUGGCUUGUCCAUGCUGAGGUGAUAUCCUGUUGUUUUGCUCAUUAAUUCCAAGCUCCAAGCAGCAGGCGCAUCACCAGCCCGUUCCAUCACGUAGACAUGUGGCCUUGUGCUAUGUACAUCGUCGGGGCGGAGCAAGAGCGUACAUUUUGAGACCCGAAAGCUAGUGAACUAUGCUUGCGAAGGUUGAAGUCAGAAGAAACUCUGGUGGAGGACCAUAGCGAUUCUGACGUGCGAAUCGAUCGUAUAACGUGAGUAUAGGGGUGAAAGACUAAUCGAACUAUCUAGUAGCUGG
rnacentral:ncRNA from 1 species